rnacentral:rRNA from 1 species
GGCUCAGAUUGAACGCUGGCGGCAUGCUUUACACAUGCAAGUCGAACGGGGUGAGGAGCUUGCUCCUCAUCUAGUGGCGAACGGGUGAGUAAUACAUCGGAACGUACCGUGUAGUGGGGAUAACGUAGCGAAAGUUACGCUAAUACCGCAUACGAUCCACGGAUGAAAGCAGGGGACCUUCGGGCCUUGUGCUAUACGAGCGGCCGAUGUCUGAUUAGCUAGUUGGUGGGGUAAAGGCCCACCAAGGCAACGAUCAGUAGCGGGUCUGAGAGGAUGAUCCGCCACACUGGGACUGAGACACGGCCCAGACUCCUACGGGAGGCAGCAGUGGGGAAUUUUGGACAAUGGGCGCAAGCCUGAUCCAGCCAUGCCGCGUGUCUGAAGAAGGCCUUCGGGUUGUAAAGGACUUUUGUCAGGGAGCAAAACCCAGCAGCUAAUAUCUGUUGGGGAUGAGAGUACCUGAAGAAUAAGCACCGGCUAACUACGUG